rnacentral:rRNA from 1 species
CAACCAGGGAUUGCCCCAGUAACGGCGAGUGAAGCGGCAACAAGCUCAAAUUUGAAAUCUGGCCCCCCGGGGCCCCGAGUUGUAAUUUGCAGAGGAUGCUUUUGGCGCGGUGCCUUCCGAGUUCCCUGGAACGGGACGCCAUAGAGGGUGAGAGCCCCGUCUGGUCGGACGCCUAGCCUGUGUAAAGCUCCUUCCACGAGUCGAGUAGUUUGGGAAUGCUGCUCUAAAUGGGAGGUAUAUGUCUUCUAAGCUAAAUACCGGCCAGAGACCGAUAGCGCACAAGUAGAGUGAUCGAAAGAUGAAAAGCACUUUGAAAAGAGGGUUAAAUAGUACGUGAAAUUGUUGAAAGGGAAGCGCUUGUGACCAGACUUGGGCCCGGUGGAUCAUCCAGCGUUCUCGCUGGUGCACUCCGCCGGGUUCAGGCCAGCAUCAGUUCGCCGCGGGGGAAAAAGGCUUCGGGAACGUGGCUCCUACGGGAGUGUUAUAGCCCGUUGCAUAAUACCCUGGGGCGGACUGAGGUUCGCGCUCCGCAAGGAUGCUGGCGUAAUGGUCAUCAAGCGACCCGUCUUGAAACACGGACCAAGGAGUCGUCUUCGUAU